AUUGAACGCUGGCGGCAGGCCUAACACAUGCAAGUCGAGCGGAUGAAGGGAGCUUGCUCCUGGAUUCAGCGGCGGACGGGUGAGUAAUGCCUAGGAAUCUGCCUGGUAGUGGGGGAUAACGUCCGGAAACGGGCGCUAAUACCGCAUACGUCCUGAGGGAGAAAGUGGGGGAUCUUCGGACCUCACGCUAUCAGAUGAGCCUAGGUCGGAUUAGCUAGUUGGUAGGGUAAAGGCCUACCAAGGCGACGAUCCGUAACUGGUCUGAGAGGAUGAUCAGUCACACUGGAACUGAGACACGGUCCAGACUCCUACGGGAGGCAGCAGUGGGGAAUAUUGGACACAGGGCGAAAGCCUGAUCCAGCCAUGCCGCGUGUGUGAAGAAGGUCUUCGGAUUGUAAAGCACUUUAAGUUGGGAGGAAGGGCAGUAAGUUAAUACCUUGCUGUUUUGACGGUACCAACAGAAUAAGCACCGGCUAACUUCGUG
rnacentral:rRNA from 1 species